GCUAAGGCCCCUAAAUAUUUGCUAAGUGACGAAGGAGGUGGGAAUGCAUAUACAACCAGUAGGUUUGCUUAUAAGCAGCAAUCCUUUAAAGAGUGCGUAAUAUCUCACUGGUCUAGUGAUCCUGCGCCGAAAAUGAAUGGGACUAAGCAAUUUGCCGACGCUGUGGGAUGUUUUACAUCGGGAGGGGAGCGUUCUGUAUUACGUUGAAGCAUUAGCGUAAGCGGAUGUGGACAAAACAGAAGUGAGAAUGUCGGCUUGAGUAGCGAAAACAUUGGUGAGAAUCCAAUGCCCCGAAAACCUAAGGUUUCCUUUGGAAGGUUCGUCCACGAAGGGUGAGUCAGGGCCUAAGGCGAGGCUGAAAAGCGUAAUCGAUGGAUAACAGUUUAAUAUUACUGUACUAUUUAUUAUUGAUACCGAGGGACGAAGAAGGCUAAAUCAGCCGGAUUUUGGUUACCGGUUUAAAUUUCUAAAGGUGAAGAUAGAUGGAGAAAACAUCUUGAGCUAAGGAAUGAAUACAAAGUGAUAAGGUACUAAAGUGAUUGA
rnacentral:rRNA from 1 species